rnacentral:lncRNA from 10 species
AUCUUUGUAGUAUACAUGGAGGAUAGAAGUUGUGGAAAGGAGAAUGAUUAUGAACUGUCUUUGCUUUCCAGGAAUUUGUAAUCUAUAGCAAGAGACAAACAUAAAUACAAUUCUAGUAGAACUGUGCUACAAUAAGUUCUAAGUAAUUGAGGAGUAACAGAAGAGUAACAACAUGUCUGAGAGAGGAGAAAAUCAGUGUGCUUGGGGGGACCUGGGAACAGUCAGAGCAGGAGUGGGGCUAUGAAAGGCUGGGUCAGAAAUUACCAAAAGGAUAUUAAAAUAGAGAAAAAUCACCAAGUAGGACUUAAGCAAAUUUCUUGGGAAGUGAAAGAUUAUAGGCAGCAAUAGAAAACCAAAACUAGAUGUAAAUUGCUGAAGAAUAGAGUGCAAGGAAUAGUUAGAAAUAGGUCAGUUUGUGGCACAUUCAGGAGAACCCAAAUCAAGUAAUUAUUCCACAACCUAUGAGGUAAAGAAAAGUCAUAAAAUCACUUUAGGUAAACAACUAUGGUAUCUUAUGUAAUAUGUCACCUAUGCUUGUUGGUAUUUAAAAUCUCCAAUUAGUAGCACUUGAGAAUGUCUUGGUGACUUAUUAUCUUCUGUGUUUUAUAAUUUUUAACAGUAAAUUUGUGUUCAUAAGAGGUGAUUACUCAAUUUUUAUAUCAUUUUUGCCCCCAGAGAAUUGUUCAUGGCCUGAAAUAAUGAAGGCAACAUGCACUGAGGAGUGAUUCUGCAUUGUCUCUAUAGGGUGCAUGGGAUAAUUGGUUCUGAGCUGGCUUUGAACUCCUUGGAUCAAGUGAUCCCUGCUCCUCAACCUCCCAAGCAGAUGUGACUACAGGCAUGCACCACCAUGCCUGGAUACGCCACCUCAGUAUUUUUAUGUUUGCUCUUUGUAUUAUACAUCUUUUUUCAUCUUUUAUAUUUAACCUAUUCAUGUAUUUGAAUCUAAAGUCUGCCUUCUGUAGACAGCAGACAAUAGGAUAUAUUUUUGUUUUUAAAUCCAGUCUGAUAAUUUUUGCCUUUUCAUUAUUUUAUCCCUUUACAUUUAAUGUUAUUAUAAUAUAGUUGAAUUUUUAUUUACCGUGUUACUUGUUUUCUAUAUGUUUCAUGGCUUUUUUGUUCCUUUAUUUCUCUUUUACUGUUUGUUUUGCAUUAAGUAAAUAUAGUAAAAUAUUUUAGUUUAUUUAAUGAGUUUUUCACAAUAUUCUUGAGUUAUUUAUUAUUAUUAUUAUUAUUAUUAUUAUUAUUAUUAUUAUUUGAGACAGGGUCUUGCUGUGUCACCCAGGCUGGAAUGCAGUGGCUCCAUCAUGGCUCACGGCAACCUCCACCUCCUGGGCUCAAGCCACAUCCUUCUACCUCAGUCUCCCCAGUAGCUAGGACUACAGGCAUGUUCCACCAUGCCCAGUUGAUUUUUAGAUUUUUUGUAGAUACAGGAUUUUGCCAUGUAACCCAGGCUCAAACUCCUGAGCUCAAGCAAUCCUCCUGCUUUGGCCUCCUAAAGUUCUGAGAUUACAGGUAUGAGCCACCAUGCCUGACCUUCUUGAGUUAAUUUUGAGGGAUCUAUGUAGGGUUUAUAAUAUACAACUUAUCAGAAUCUAUUUUAGAUGUAUACUAAUUUAAUCCAAGUGAGAUUCGAAAACAUUACUUUACUCCUAUCUCUAUUUCCUCUUCUCUUUUUGUGAUAUUAUUAUUAAACAUAUUAUUUCUAAUUGUAUUACAGAAACAACAUAAAUU